ACCAUCAAAAUCCAUUAAAAAUCCAUUAAAAAUUACAACAUUUUUCCAGACAUUGGGGAAGAAGAUAAAGAGCCCCUUUGUUCACUGCUUCGGGAGGAACAAAGUGGUACCUUUCAUACCCAGCUGAAACCGAGGAAUUCGGGGAAGGCCAAUGAUGAUCUGGACAAAUCAGAGAUGAAGAUCAGUUCCAGGAUGAAGGCUGAUGACGAUAUUGCCCAUCCCGUGGCAAAGGCAGACUAUGAUCUGCCGAAUACUACAAAGCCUAAUGAUGUAUCGUCCAACCCCCAGCAUUACACUGGCACUUAUUUCACCGGUGAUGGACUUAGGGCGCACUCACAUUAUCCAAACCAAACCAUGCCCCAGCACGAUUGUCACGCCUCCCUACUCCCCCAGGUGCACGCACUCACACUGUACUUUUUAUCGAUCCGAGUUCGGGCGUGCUUUCGUCAUUAAGAUGCGAUUGUUUUGAAAAAAGGAGGAAGUAAAGCUCUCUCUUAACCCUGGAACCCACCGUAAUGAUAAGUCUGUUCGUUUGGUGUCGUUUGUCGUUUGGUGCGCGAUUACAGACAGCCCUCUCAAAUGUCAUCAUAUUGCUUAGUUGAUCUGUCACAUGCGCAGCGCGUACAUUCACGUAACCCCGCUGCGCGCAUCAAAAGGUUUGUACGGAGGCAGAUGAAGGUGAGUGGUUGCGCAAGUGACGUCUUCACCUUUUGAAAAUGAGCCCAAGUGAACCGCACUCUGGCCCACCUCUGCAACCCGGCCGCGGCGCGAUUAACCAAUCCGCGCCCGGGCGCGGAACAGAGCGAUCACACUAGUCAAACAAACCAGGCUUUGGGUGUCAAACGCGCCCGAGCGCGGUUUGGUUUGGUUUGGAUAGUGUGAGUGCGCCCUUAAGGCUACCGAUGACCAAGCCUUAAUGAAGCUGGGGACAGAGAAACGUCUGACCAAUUUCGGCUUGAACUCUGAUCCCAGUUCAGCCGAGCCUCAGAUGACUGCCAUUUAUUUGGUCAGCGACGAAACAACCUUUACUAUCUUGAGGGCAGACACCAGUCUGCAUAUUUUGGAUUUUUGCGAAGACGAUUCAGUCAAUACCGUGCUGAAUGCUCGCACCAACCCUGCCAAUCCCAAGCCAAAGAAGCCAACCUCAUCUACUAGCGAUGAGGUGCUUGGGGCGAUUGGCUUUACCAGGAGGAUGUUCCAAGAAAGAGAAGACUCCGGUGGCAAACAGGUAACAAAAUCAAAUUUCUUUCAGCAAACAUUGUGUUCUUUACAUAAAGAUUUAUGUUUAUUAAAAACAUUAACCGAGUUAACCGAUUGUAUGAAUUUAUCAGGUAGAUCUUGUCAGCUUUAUCAUUUUAAAAGUAGAUUUAAUGUUUAUGCUUAAAAAAGUGCAUAUAGCUGCUAAUUGUAUUUGUUGUUUGCUGAUUUUCAAAAAUAAAACUUGUUAAAAUGUUUUCAGUGUGUGUAUCAGUUCUUUUUGAACAUUUCCAUCUCAAUUUAAGAAAACCAUGAUAAUAUUGAUAACCGUGAUAACUUUGGUCACUAUAAUCAUGAUAUGAAAUUUUCUAACCGUCCCAUCCCUACUUGCAAGUAUAUUUUUCAUGUUUCUUUCUGUAUUUGCAGGUCACCAUCAAGCAAGUUUCAAAAUGGACCCGUAACCCUUGCAUUGAUAUUAAGUCUGACAAUAAUCCAGGCGAUGCCAAAUUAAAGACUGGCACCAUUCCCAAGGCAAAGGCUGGCACCGGUGUUGGCAAUCCAGUUCGAAAACCUAUUGUUGUUCCAUGUAGACAGACAACAAACCUGCAGUUCCCAAGAAGACGGCUUGUUUUCAUCCACGUGAUACCGAGGUGAAAGCAGAUAGCGAGGAGGUCGAUCCGGCACACAGUGAGUCUACUGUUAUGAUUACUCUAAAUUGGUGGAUCUUAAUCGUUUUGAUGGCCUCUUAUUUUCCACAGAAAUAUUUGACAGCUCCUCUACUCACCAUAUAGAAAUAUACAGAUAUGUUUUAGCUUAUUUCAUUGCUUGUUUUAUCUUGUUUUAAAUC